UUUGAUGAAAGAAAAAAUAGGCUAGUCUCUAACGUUAGUGCAUGGCUAACUUUACAAAGUUUGAACUUGAAGAAUGGGCGGGAUGUCUCAGGGUAGCUCGACACGGUCAUCCAUUUUGCAUUAUCACUGUGAACUUUAGAAGACGACGCACACGAAAAGUUCUGCUGAGAUAUUAUUUACCGUGUUGACUUUAUCUUUACUUCAGUUAUUGCUUCAGAGAAUAUCUGGAAAAAAUGGACAUACUUUAAAGAACCACAAGACGCCAUCGUGCUUGAGGCUGACCCAUCUGCCACAGCUGCAAACGUCCAAAGGAUGACCAGAUUGCCAAGCACACCUCGCUUGAUUGUCCAAGGGUUAUAUGAUUAAGCCUGCAGCAUGGUUGCUCUCCAUCGAAGGACAAGUUGUCAUGGGGCCACACGCAGACUUUAUCACUGGAUCUAAAUCCAAGAAGAAGCAGGGAGGCAUCAAUCAGCAAGUUUGUUCUCUGCUGUGCAAACUUGUGGAUUUUGAAUGGAUGGCAACAUAAUCAGAUUUUGUGUUAAAAGAGAACUCCAGUCAAUUUUAACAUUGAGCUAAUUUUUUUGUAAAUU